CACCUCUAGCAUUUCCAGUAUUAGAGGCACUGCCUGCCCAGUGACAUCUGUUUAAACGGCCGCGGUAUCCUAACCGUGCAAAGGUAGCAUAAUCACUUGUUCCCUAAAUAGGGACUUGUAUGAAUGGCCACACGAGGGUUUUACUGUCUCUUACUUCCAAUCAGUGAAAUUGACCUUCCCGUGAAGAGGCGGGAAUGACUAAAUAAGACGAGAAGACCCUAUGGAGCUUUAAUUAACUGAUUCACAAAAAACAACACACAAACCUAACCUUCAGGGACAACAAAACUUUUGAUUGAAUCAGCAAUUUCGGUUGGGGUGACCUCGGAGAACAAAACAACCUCCGAGUGAUUUAAAUCCAGACUAACCAGUCAAAAUAUAUAAUCACUUAUUGAUCUAAACCAUUGAUCAACGGAACAAGUUACCCUAGGGAUAACAGCGCAAUUCUAUUCCAGAGUCCAUAUCGACAAUUAGGGUUUACGACCUCGAUGUUGGAUCAAGACAUCCUAAUGGUGCAACCGCUAUUAAGGGUUCGUUUGUUCAACGAUUAAAGUCUU
rnacentral:rRNA from 1 species